rnacentral:rRNA from 1 species
UCCUACGGGGGGCAGCAGUGGGGAAUAUUGCACAAUGGGCGCAAGCCUGAUGCAGCAACGCCGCGUGAAUGAUGAAGGCCUUCGGGUCGUAAAGUUCUGUCCAAAGGGAAGAAUACAGUGACGGUACCUUUGGAGGAAGCCCCGGCUAACUACGUGCCAGCAGCCGCGGUAAUACGUAGGGGGCAAGCGUUAUCCGGAAUCACUGGGCGUAAAGGGAGCGUAGGCGGUUUGACAAGCCAGAGGUGAAAGGCAAUAGCUUAACUAUUGUAAGCCUUUGGAACUGUCAGACUUGAGUGCAGGAGAGGAAAGUGGAAUUCCUAGUGUAGCGGUGAAAUGCGUAGAUAUUAGGAGGAACACCAGUGGCGAAGGCGACUUUCUGGACUGUAACUGACGCUGAGGCUCGAAAGCGUGGGGAGCGAACAGGAUUAGAUACCCCGGU